GCGAAAGCGACGUUCAACCGCAAAAGAAGCAGAGGGGGCUUAGUGGUGGGGUGACUGCGUACCUUUUGUAUAAUGGGUCAGCGACUUAUAUUCUGUAGCAAGGUUAACCGUAUAGGGGAGCCGAAGGGAAACCGAGUCUUAAUUGGGCGUUAAGUUGCAGGGUAUAGACCCGAAACCCGGUGAUCUAGCCAUGGGCAGGUUGAAGGUUGGGUAACACUAACUGGAGGACCGAACCGACUAAUGUUGAAAAAUUAGCGGAUGACCUGUGGCUGGGGGUGAAAGGCCAAUCAAACCGGGAGAUAGCUGGUUCUCCCCGAAAGCUAUUUAGGUAGCGCCUCGUGAAUUCAUCUCCGGGGGUAGAGCACUGUUUCGGCCAGGGGGCCAUCCCGGCUUACCAAUCCGAUGCAAACUGCGAAUACCGGAGAAUGUUAUCACGGGAGACACACGGCGGGUGCUAACGUCCGUCGUGAAGAGGGAAACAACCCAGACCGCCAGCUAAGGUCCCAAAGUCAUGGUUAAGUGGGAAACGAUGUGGGAAGGCCCAGACAGCCAGGAUGUUGGCUUAGAAGCAGCCAUCAUUUAAAGAAAGCGUAAUAGCUCACUGGUCGAGUCGGCCUGCGCGGAAGAUGUAACGGGGCUAAACCAUGCACCGAAGCUGCGGCAGCGACACUGAUGUGUUGUUGGGUAGGGGAGCGUUCUGUAAGCCGUUGAAGGUGGCCUGUGAGGGUUGCUGGAGGUAUCAGAAGUGCGAAUGCUGACAUAAGUAACGAUAAAGCGGGUGAAAAGCCCGCUCGCCGGAAGACCAAGGGUUCCUGUCCAACGUUAAUCGGGGCAGGGUGAGUCGACCCCUAAGGCGAGGCCGAAAGGCGUAGUCGAUGGGAAACGGGUUAAUAUUCCCGUACUUGGUGUUACUGCGAAGGGGGGACGGAGAAGGCUAUGUUGGCCGGGCGACGGUUGUCCCGGUUUAAGCGUGUAGGUGUGUGUUCCAGGUAAAUCCGGUUCACUUUAACAC
rnacentral:rRNA from 1 species